CACACCUCACUAAGCACAAUAAUAAAUGACCAAUAACAAAUCUAAACACCAUUCAUCACUUUGCAUAAAUAGAUUCAAGUUGAUUUACAACAAAUUCAGAGUAUUUACAGUGAAAGGUUUUAGCAUGGCACUCACGAUCACCUAAACGGAAGGUUGACACUAUAUGAAGAUAGUGUCUUCCUCCAGGCUUAGACCUUCACUCCCGUCCACGGAAAAGCUGUGGGUCACCUGCAAACAACUUAACGGCAGCACUGUGAGUACAAAAGUUACUCCGCAGGACUUAUCCAACAUAUGGGUAUAUACUUGCCCGACUCUCAAUGAGUAUGCAUUUGGUUUAGUAGCAAGGAAGGGCAAUAGGUAAAUAAGUUGCAUAAAAAGCACCUAGUAAAGUUUACUGUGAUAUAAACAAAUAAAGACCUGGCAUUCUAUGCUCUAAGCCAAACAUCAAGCAAGUACAUGAAGUAAGGUGAUCAAGUAUAUGAGCUCAGUCUUCCAUGAACUCCCAACGGUAACUCUACUUUGAGACUCUAAACUCAAGAGCGUGCUCCGUGACUUGGAGCGAGGCUAUUGCAAUAGAUUACAACCCUACAGGGGUGUACAACUGUACCCACACAAAAGGCAAGACCAACGACCAUAUCCCUGUACACAAGAUAAGUGUUAAUUCAUGCCCCCAACCUUUCACAUACCCGCACCCCACUAUGAACGAACGGCCGGAAGUGUAUAGGUGCACCGAACGCAGCCUGAUCACACCUCAUCACACCCCGCUCUCGAAUUUCGGUCAAGGAACGGUGCGACUUAUGCUACUUGGCUUACCUACCCAUAAUCAGCAUGUGGUUUGUACAAAAAAGUGCUCAAGAGCCUAGCUACAAAGAUAGGUCCUCAAUCAACUCAAUCAAGUCUAAAUCAAGUGAGCUCCAAUCUCAAAUGACCCUAGCACACUUGCUCAAGUCUCGAAACAUGAUUAUCAUGGCUCAAAUUUUAAACCAAACAUAGCUAUCCAAGUAUUAUUAGAUCAAGCAUAGAUAUAGCUCGCGAGGGGUGGUGACCUUGCCACUUCUCGACUUCUACCGAAGCUAAGCAUGGAUAAGCAAUUAUAAACGUGACACCUAACAAGCAUACUCACCUAAAGGAGGUUAUUCUAGAUCAAGGAAGGAUAAAUGCAUAAAGAUAGGAGCUAAGCAAACAUAUACACUAAUAUUGACUUAUGCACAUACAAGACACAUAUACACAUUUGAUCCAAAUUAGGGUUCAAAGAAUGCUUAGGUGCCUGCCUUGGGUGCCAACCGAGGCAUCGUUGGCGAUGGGGUCUUGUUGGGACUCGCCGACCUCUUGCUCCAGCGCUUCGGUCUCUACACGAAAUGCAAUGAUACAAAAUAAAUAAACAUACCAUGAAUGAGUGCAAUGACAUGAGAAAAAAUAUACUCAAAUAUGAUCUAACAAAAUUGGUUUCAUGAUUUUUGGACUAAAAGAGAAUUAACUAUGCAAUUAACAAGAUUAAAACUCAUAUAAUUAAUUCAGAAAAUUAAUUAAUUAUUUUGUGAGAAAACUCAUUUUUAACAGGUUCUUUACAUCAUUGGAAAACCAACAAAAUUUGUUCACAUUUUUCUGAGCUAUAUGCAAUUUUAUAUGAAUUUUACAAAAAUGAUACAUGGGCUGUGAAUAGUAACUGCGGACCGUCCGUGGUCAACUGACGGACUGUCCGCGAUGAGCUGACGGACUGUUCGAACCUCAUGUACGGACUGUUCGCGGGACCCCGAAAAUCCAAAAUCAUCUCUGGAUGAUUUGGUUUUGAUUACGGACAGUCCGUCCGGGACUCUCGGACUGUCCACGGAUGAGGUGUGGCUCGCCGUCGAGCUCGCCGGCGGCGACUCCGGCCAUGUUUUUGGAUGGAGUUUGUUUCUAUGGGUUGCUAGAAGUGUAUAGAGGUGAUUCCAAGUGAUAGAUUUGAGAGAAAACAAGUUUUAGAAGCUCGAACCCAUCAAUGGUGAUUGGGAACCCUAGGUUUCCAUAGAUGGGGCUAGGGAGCUUGAUUGAUGGCAAAGGAAGAGAGGGAGCGGUGAGGAAAGCUCACCGACGAUGAGUAGAGCAUGAUCUUGAUGCCGCUUGUUGACGUAGGGCAACGUAGAAGUAGAUCGGGCCGAGUUCAUCCUUGAGAGCUUGAGGAAGAAGAAGAGGAAAAGCUUGGGCUUGACCUUUCCCAUGGUUCCCGGCGAGGAGGAGGUGGUGGAGAAGCUUGUCAGGGACAUCCUCCGGCGAUCUCCGGUGAGGUUGGUGGUGGAUUUGGUGGGGGGAGGAGUUUGCUCCCUCCAUGGCUCCAUGGGGAAGAGAGGAGGAGAAGGGAGGCAAUGGGGGAGAGAAUGAGAGUGAGAGAAAGUGAGUGAGACGUAC
rnacentral:lncRNA from 1 species